CAGCCGCCGCGGGAAUACGUAGGGUGCGAGCGUUAAUCGGAAUUACUGGGCGUAAAGCGUGCGCAGGCGGUUUUGUAAGACAGGCGUGAAAUCCCCGGGCUCAACCUGGGAAUGGCGCUUGUGACUGCAAAGCUAGAGUGCGGCAGAGGGGGAUGGAAUUCCGCGUGUAGCAGUGAAAUGCGUAGAUAUGCGGAGGAACACCGAUGGCGAAGGCAAUCCCCUGGGCCUGCACUGACGCUCAUGCACGAAAGCGCGGGGAGCAAACAGGAUUAGAUACCCUAGUAGUCCCUGUCUCUUAUAC
rnacentral:rRNA from 1 species